UACGGAGGGUGCAAGCGUUACUCGGAAUCACUGGGCGUAAAGAGCGCGUAGGCGGGAUAGCAAGUCAGAAGUGAAAUCCAUGGGCUUAACCCAUGAACUGCUUUUGAAACUGUUUAUCUUGAGUGAAGUAGAGGUAGGCGGAAUUCCCGGUGUAGCGGUGAAAUGCGUAGAGAUCGGGAGGAACACCAGUGGCGAAGGCGGCCUACUGGGCUUUAACUGACGCUGAAGCACGAAAGCGUGGGUAGCAAACAGG
rnacentral:rRNA from 1 species